rnacentral:rRNA from 1 species
CGAAAGCCUGACGGAGCAACACCGCGUGUGGGAAGAAGGCUCUUGGGCUGUCAACCACUUUUCUCAGGGAAGAAGACCUGACGGCACCUGAAGAAUCAGCCUCGGCUAACUCCGUGCCAGCAGCCGCGGUAAUACGGAAGAGGCAAGCGUUAUCCGGAAUUAUUGGGCGUAAAGCGUCCGUAGGUGGAUAUUCAAGUCUGCUGUCAAAGCGUGGGGCUUAACUCCAUAGAGGCAGUGGAAACUGAGUGACUAGAGUGCGGUAGGGGUCGAGGGAAUUCCCAGUGUAGCGGAGAAAUGCGUAUAUAUUGGGAAGAACACCGGUGGCGAAAGCGCUCUACUGGGUCGCACCUGACCCUCAGGGACGAAAGCUAAGGUAGCG